CGUGUAGGCGGCCAGGUAGGUCUGCUGUGAAAACUCGAGGCUUAACCUCGAGCUGUCGGCGGAAACCAUCUGGCUAGAGUCCGGAAGAGGAGAAUGGAAUUCCCGGUGUAUCGGUGAAAUGCGCAGAUAUCGGGAAGAACACCCGUGGCGAAGGCGGUUCUCUGGGACGGUACUGACGCUGAGACGCGAAAGCGUGGGGAGCGAACA
rnacentral:rRNA from 1 species